rnacentral:rRNA from 1 species
GACGAACGCUGGCGGCGUGCCUAAUACAUGCAAGUCGAACGCAGUGGGGACGGGUGAGUAACACGUGGGUAACCUCCCAUCAGAGGGGAUAACACUUGGAAACAGGUGCUAAACCGAUACUGAUGGAUGGACCCGCGGUGCAUUAGCUAGUUGGUGAGGUAACGGCUCACCAAGGCCACGAUGCAUAGUCGACCUGAUAGGGGGAUCGGCUACACUGAGACUGAGGCACGGCCGAGAGGCCGACGGUAGGCAGCAGUAGGGAAUCGUCGGCAAUGGACGAAAGUCUGACCGAGCGACGGCGCGUGAGUGAAGAAGGUUUUCGGAUCGUAAAACUCUGGUGUUAGAGAAGCGGUAUCUAACCAGAAAACCACGGCUAACAACGUGCCAGCGGCCGCGGUAAUAG